rnacentral:lncRNA from 1 species
AAUUUAUGAGGCAUUAGCUCUGAAGGCCAUGUUAAUAAUUCCCUGUGUUAAAUUCCUGACUUUAUUGAUGAGGAAAGAGGAUCAGAGAAAGUGAAGGACUCACCUAUAGUUACCAGUGCAUAAAUGGAAGAGCUAUGUUUGUAUCCAGGCUUUACUUCAAAUCUGGCCCUCUGUCCAUUGCAUCAGAACCCAUGAACUGACCCAAUUCAAACAACUCUCAUUUAGUUCCAUAUGGUGUUACAUGUGAUCUAUUUUUUAAGCAGACUAUGAUACAAUAAAAAUGCUGAUUCCAAAUAAUAUGUCUUACAAAGUAGCAUCCUUUCCAGAAGAGAAUGCCUCUCUCUCCACAGUAUCAAACAGCUUCUGGUGGAGCUUCCACAGUAAGUGUGACCUCUGGAGACACAACAUAGAGUCUGCUGGCUAGAGAAGAUAUAGGAUCCUAAAACUCUUAUUAUCUGUGACUGUGAGAGACUUGAAACUUCUCCUUCACCUAAGAUUCUUUUCCAACCUCGUAAGUACUUGACUAAGAUAUAUUUGUGUGAUGACUUUGUCCAGCUGAAGUAAUCUAAAAACCUUGAUGGGCUGGAAAUGGUGAAUUUUUCUUCUGUUGGUGACUAAUGCAGUGAGCAGGCAGUUUUUCUAGUUCUUUUAAGGCAGCAUCAGCCUAAAAGGUCACGGACAGGCAUUAGCAAUGCGAGAGUACACAGAAGUUAAUUUCAAAACAAAUAAAGUGGAUGGAGCAAUUCAACAACUGUGCAUUCUGAAAUGCAAGUAAAUGACUUAUAUGCUCAAGUGAUUUGAAGCAUAAGUAUUGAUGACUUGUGUGGCUUUUAACCAUAUCUGGGAAACUCUCAUACCCUCAUUGCCUUUGCUUGGAGGAUGUCCCUGCUGGUCCUGGCAGCCCUCACACUGCGCAGUCUUUCCACACACUACAGCCCAAGGAGUCAUCUGCUUGUGGUUUGGUAGCUUCAACCUUGUUCUCUACAACCAUCCCCCAUGCCGGUUCUCAGCUCAGAAAACUUCAAUGACUUCCAUUAUCCGCUGAAGUUUUAACUUUUACAUACAAACCUGAAUGGAAACAUUCAGGUUUUCCAGGAUAUGGCCUUUGCUGUCAUUUCCUCCUUGUUAUCCUUUCUCCCUCCCUCCAUAUUUUCCACAAAUGAUUUGGAAAUACUGUAAAAACCUCUAUAUUAAGUGCUGGGGAUAUAUUGAUGAUCAAGCUGCCUUUGUAAAGUGUGCAGAUAAAAGAGAGAUCCACAGAGAAGUAAUUCAAGUCAAGCAGGAUGAGUGAUUUGGUAGGGCAGUGUCGGGGCAACAGGAGGAUGCACAGGGAACUUCAACAAAUUGACCAGGCUGAUUUCUCUGAAGAAGGAACACGUCAGUGGAAAUGUGUGAAAACUGAUCAACAGAAGAAGGGGCUUGAUCUACUUUCCGUCUUAGAAUGUGUGCUCAGGUUGCGGUGUGUACGGUGUGGAUAAAUGAUUUGGGCCAGUGGCUUUCAAACUUGAGUGUGAGUCAGAAUCUUCCAGAGGGCUUUGUAGAACACCACUGCAGGACUCCCUCUCCUAGUAGGUUUGGGGGAGACCCUGAGAAUCUCCAUUUUUUUUUUUGAGACGGGGUUUCACUCUUGUGGCCCAGGCUGGAGUGCAGUGCUGCCGUCUUGGCUCACCGCAAGCUCCGCUUCCCGGGUUCAAGCGAUUCUCCUGCCUCAGCCUCCCACGUAGCUGGGAUUACAGGGGCCCGCCACCAUGCCUGGCUAAUUUUUUGUAUUUUUUAGUAGAGACGGGGUUUGGCCAUGUUGGGCAGGCUGCUCUCCUGACCUCAGGUGAUCCGCCCGCCUCAGCCUCCCAAAGUGCUGGGAUUACAGGCGUGAGCCACCGUGCCCGGCCGAGAAUCUGCAUUUUUAACAAGCUCCCAGGAGAAGCUGAAGCUGCUGAUCCUGGGACUGCACUUAGAGAACCACGGUUCUGAGGUAAGCAAGACUAGAGGCUGCGGGGCCUCGCAGCCCAGGUGUGCAACAAGGGUGACCUAGACUGUAGGCAAGGCAGAGGUGGUAGAGAGGAGAGGCCUGAGAAGGAUAUGGGAAUCAGACACGCCUAGAUUUGGGCGUGGUAUGAGACGGAUGGAAUGUGGAGGUGACGGGGAGGAAGGAGUCAAGGACGGCAACCAAUUUUUGCCAUAAGACCUUGGGUGGAAGGAAUACUGUUUACUGAGAUAAAAAAAAAUCCAAGAGUAGAAGCACAACUAAGCAGAAGGCGCGAAGUUCAUUUUGGGGUAGAAUAUGCUGCUUUAGUUAAGAAUAUAGGCUCUGAAGUUAGAUUUCCUGGGUCUGAGCAUUAGCUUUGCUUCUUCCCAGCUGAAUAACUUCAAGCAAUUUUCACAACCUUACUGCACAUAGUUGCUUCAUUUUAACAUUGCGACAAAAAUAGUACCCAUCUCAUAAGGUUGUGGCAAGGAUUGAAUAAGACACUAUAUAAAAAAUAUUUGCAACCCUGUCUGGCAUACAGUUUGUACUCAAUAUUAACCAUUAUGAAUAAUUGCCUUCACAUACACUGGCUUUUUCCAAACUGAUUGCAUCACUCCUUGGAGGCUGCUCAGGCCGUGCUUUUCUAUUUUUGUUGCUUUGCUUAUUGCGGCUCCUUUGUCUAGAAUUUGUUUCUACCAUUCCUACUUAUCUCUGUAUGAAGUCAUGCUUGUCCUCAGAGUCCAAAUAAAUGCCGCUUCCUCCAGUUGCCUUCCCAGUUGCCCCCCACCUCGCUCAGUGAUCUCUUCGUUCUCAGCUCUUACCACCAUCAUUAUAAUUUCAUUUUAAAUCAAAGUACUUUUAACCUGUGUUUUAAUUACUUCUACACGCCUCCCUUCCCAACACUGGCAAUGAUGGGUUCUAUUGUGUUUUGUGGCUUUCAUUUACACACUAGUGCACUGUUGAGUGAACUCGGAAGUUAGUUUAUAAACAUUGUAGUUAGCUGCUGGUCCUAAUUUUCACGUUUAUUUGGAUUUGGAGUUGGGAAUAUUGUUAUGAUUUUCUUUGUGCUUAAUAAAUCACAUCUGCAUCCACAGAGGAGGGUUUAUUUGUGGCUUAUUAAUUAAAUAGUAAUUCAUCAUAUGAACAAAUGCUCUAUUGUAUUGUUUUCCUCUCCUUAGGGAAAACCAUUUUGCCGCAAAUUAGAAUAUUUGAAAUCAAUACUGC